rnacentral:rRNA from 1 species
GUGAACGCUGGCGGUAGGCCUAACACAUGCAAGUCGCACGGCAGCACAGUAAGAGCUUGCUCUUACGGGUGGCGAGUGGCGGACGGGUGAGGAAUACAUCGGAAUCUACUUUUUCGUGGGGGAUAACGUAGGGAAACUUACGCUAAUACCGCAUACGACCUACGGGUGAAAGCAGGGGAUCUUCGGACCUUGCGCGAUUGAAUGAGCCGAUGUCGGAUUAGCUAGUUGGCGGGGUAAAGGCCCACCAAGGCGACGAUCCGUAGCUGGUCGGAGAGGAUGAGCAGCCACACUGGAACUGAGACACGGUCCAGACUCCUACGGGAGGCAGCAGUGGGGAAUAUUGGACAAUGGGCGCAAGCCUGAUCCAGCCAUACCGCGUGGGUGAAGAAGGCCUUCGGGUUGUAAAGCCCUUUUGUUGGGAAAGAAAAGCAGCAGGUUAAUACCCCGCUGUUCUGACGGUACCCAAAGAAUAAGCACCGGCUAACUUCGUG